rnacentral:rRNA from 1 species
GUAGGUGGCAAGCGUUGUCCGGAAUUAUUGGGCGUAAAGCGCGCGCAGGCGGUUCUUUAAGUCUGAUGUGAAAGCCCACGGGCUCAACCGUGGAGGGUCAUUGGAAACUGGAGAACUUGAGUACAGAAGAGGAAAGCGGAAUUCCACGUGUAGCGGUGAAAUGCGUAGAGAUGUGGAGGAACACCAGUGGCGAAGGCGGCUUUCUGGUCUGUAACUGACGCUGAGGCGCGAAAGCGUGGGGAGCAAACAGGAUUAGAUACCCUGGUAGUCCACGCCGUAAACGAUGAGUGCUAAGUGUUAGGGGGUUUCCGCCCCUUAGUGCUGCAGCUAACGCAUUAAGCACUCCGCCUGGGGAGUACGACCGCAAAGGUCG